GAUGAAGAACGCAGCGAAAUGCGAUAAGUAAUGUGAAUUGCAGAAUUCAGUGAAUCAUCGAAUCUUUGAACGCACAUUACGCCCGCUAGUAUUCUGGCGGGCAUGCCUGUCCGAGCGUCAUUUCAACCCAUCAAGCUUAGCGCUUGUGUUGGAGCCCUGCGGCCGCCGCAGCCUCCUAAAAUCAGUGGCGGGCUCGCUAUCACGCUGAGUGCAGUAGUAUUCUUCUCACUCCUGUGGUGUAGCGGGUAACCAGCCGUAAACCCCCCCAUCUAUAAAGGUUGACCUCGGAUCAGGUAGGAAUACCCGCUGAACUUAAGCAUAUCAAUAAGCGGAGGA
rnacentral:misc_RNA from 1 species